CAGGUGCUGCAUGGCUGUCGUCAGCUCGUGUCGUGAGAUGUUCCGGUUAAGUCCGGCAACGAGCGCAACCCACAUCCUUAGUUGCCAUCAUUCAGUUGGGCACUCUAAGGAAACUGCCCGUGAUAAGCGGGAGGAAGGUGUGGAUGACGUCAAGUCCUCAUGGCCCUUACGGGUUGGGCUACACACGUGCUACAAUGGUGGUGACAAUGGGUUAAUCCCCAAAAGCCAUCUCAGUUCGGAUUGAAGUCUGCAACUCGACUUCAUGAAGGCGGAAUCGCUAGUAAUCGCGGGUCAGCAUACCGCGGUGAAUACGGUUCCCGGGUUUU
rnacentral:rRNA from 1 species